CACAGCACUCUGCAAACACGAAAGUGGACGUAUAGGGUGUGAUGCCUGCCCGGUGCUGGAAGGUUAAUUGAUGGGGUUAGCGAAAGCGAAGCUCUUGAUCGAAGCCCCAGUAAACGGCGGCCGUAACAAUAACGGUCCUAAGGUAGCGAAAUUCCUUGUCGGGUAAGUUCCGACCUGCACGAAUGGCAUAAUGAUGGCGGCGCUGUCUCCACCAGAGACUCAGUGAAAUCGAAAUCGCGGUGAAGAUGCCGUGUACCCGCGGCUAGACGGAAAGACCCCGUGAACCUUUACUGCAGCUUUGCACUGAACUUUGACCUUACUUGUGUAGGAUAGGUGGGAGGCUAUGAAACUCGGACGCCAGUUCGAGUGGAGCCAUCCUUGAAAUACCACCCUGGUAAUGUUGAGGUUCUAACCCAGUCCCGUUAUCCGGGACGGGGACAGUGUAUGGUGGGUAGUUUGACUGGGGC
rnacentral:rRNA from 1 species